CGGCCCCGGCCCCGGCCCCGGCCCCGGCCCCGGCCCCGGCCCCGGCCCCGGCCCCGGCCCCUGCCCCGGCCCCGGCCGGCGCCCGCGCCUGCGCCCGGCGCCGACGAAAGUCGUCGUGGUCGGAGCGGUGACCCCUGAUCUCACCCGCGUAGCGCCCACGAGUGCCCCCAGCUGCCCACGCGGGGGCCCACUACCGCCCAUGGCUGGGCUCACUGCUGCCCACGCGUGGACCCACGACCGCCCAUGGCUAGGCCCACUCCCGCCCACGCGUGGCCCCACUACCGCCCACGGCUGGGCCCACUGCUGGCCACUCCCGCCCACGGCUGGGCCCACCACUGCUGACCUCGCGUGGCCCCACUCCCGCCCACGGCUGCCCACGCGUGGGCCCACUACCGCCCACAGCUGGGCCCACGCCGCGAGUACAGUGGUUUUGUCUGUACGCAUUGUCAGUAAAUUUUUGUUAUGUUUGUUAUAAUUGGUAAACUUGAGUAAAGCCCCGCUUGCAUGUAAUUGUGUGUACUCAGUAAAAAAACGUAUAAAAAUGACUAAUGACAAGCCUUAUUGAGCUUACCGUGGGCCUUAGUCAAUUUGUGUAAUAAUGUCCUAUAAUAUUUAUUCUAUAAUAUUUAUUUAUUUAUUUAAUGACUUAUAAUCGACAUCCAUUUAUGAUUAAUGUUCAUGAAAAUUUAAUUAUAAUUUAUGUGUUGUCAGUUUUAACCAAACUUACUUACAUGUAUCGAUCGACCUAGUCCUGCAAUACUUACAAACAUAAUAAGUUAAAGUAGGGACAAACUUAGCUAAGUACCCCGCCUAUGAAGCCGAUGGUCCCGGGUUCAAAUCCUGGUAAGGGCAUUUAUUCGUGUGAUGAGCACGGAUAUUUGUUCCUGAGUCAUGGGUGUUUUCUAUGUAUUUAAGUAUUUAUAAAUAUGUAUAUAUUAUAUAUAUCGUUGUCUAAGUACCCUCAACACAAGCCUUAUUGAGCUUACUGUGGGACUUAGUCAAUUUGUGUAAUAAUGUCCUAUAAUAUUUAUUUUAAUGUCUACCUUAUCACUCUGAACAUUACAUUCAAGCGGGGCUUUAGGCAAGUUCUCUACAUGUAUAUCCGGUGCCUACUAAUUAUUGUUUCCCCAUUUUAUUUAAACUAAAUACAUACAUUCAAACGCGUAUUCCAAAGCAGUUAUAGAAAAAAUCUGUUUAGCAUAAUUUUAUUGGUAACAUUAAUUAAUGUAUAUAAUGUAAGAUGGGACGCAUUUAAAAUAAUAUAUAAUAAUAUAUAUAAUGUAUGUAAAUGGUCAGUAAAUAUUCGGGCACUGGCAAGUGGGCGAACCAAAAUAUAUAUAAUUAUUCAUAUUAUAUAAACACUAUAUAUUAUUGUAAAUACUUAGUGUAAGCGUGUAUAAUAAAUAAUAAAUAUAUACAUUAUAAAUAUAUAAGGAGCCGGCGGCGCGCGGAGUUGUUUCUUAUUCUGUGAUAUUUAAUUAGCUUUUAAAUGUUUUAUUAAUUAUUAGUCACGUUUUUAUUUGGAUUUUAAUUGAUAAAUUGUUAGAAUGUAAUCCAUAUGAUGCAUUUUCGUUGCAGUUAAAUUUCAAGUAUAUCGUAGCACAAAUACAUAUAAGUCCAGUUCCUGUUUAAAAUGUCGACGCAAAGGGCUAACAACAUGUGUACUCGAACAUUAUUGUCAAGUUUCUACAGCUGUGUGGAUAAUUUGACUAUACAUAUUGUGCGAAAUUCUACCCCUGAGAGGGUUACAGGUCGAGUCAUCCACGAUGACGCUCAGAUUUGUCAAAUCUAACCUUUCAUAACAUGAUAAUACGUUUUAAGGCACGCCUUCGUGAAUGGCACGAACUAUAAAAGGGGAUUGAAACUUUGUAGGUUUACGAGAUUAUUUUCUUUAAUAACAAGGCAUAUUUCAUAAAUUAUCAUCAAAAAAUAACGAUAUGAAUAUUUGUUUGCAACGAAACGCAUUGAUACGUUGACUAUAAUACAAUACUCUAUGGUAUCCCGUGAGCCUGUAGUAUGAAACCAGUGUUUGGCAGGAUCACUGCGAGUAAGUGGCCGUUUUACUGUUUAUUCAUUGUUAACAGGAAACUUCAUUAUAAAGACUGUAAAUCUCCAUGCAAAGCCGCGGUUUUUUCCAAUUCAAUUAUAAAGUAAAUCUACGUUUCGACAAAAUGUACUCACCCCAAAGGCGUGUAUGGGAGUUUUCAGAGAAUAGACAAUUAAGCAUGAUAUGAACUUUUUGCCUUUUUUUACAUUGGAAUAUCGCGUAUAGUUUAUGAAAUGAACACCACAACCAAUUUUAUCAGUAAUCAUCGUCACAAAAUAGACAGUGAUUAACUUUUACAGUACAUAUGGUGCUACUUUACCGCACUAGUGCGCAAAUUAGCAUAUUACGUUACUGUGUCAAACAUUUAAAGGUCCAUAAUAUGUACUGUAAAACGUUGUACGAUACAUGUGCGAAUAGAUAAUUCGCAACUCGUGUCGAUUUAAAACGCUCCCUUCGGUCGUGUUCGCCACUCGUUUCGAAUUUCCUAUUUUUCGCACUUGUAUCGCAAUGUACUAUUAUCAACUCACUCUAAUCGAGUCCACUAUUUUCUGAAGACUCCCGCAUACAUAAGGGAACGAAUGGAAAGAUUUGCGAGGUUCUGGCAGGCUUCAGUAGCUCAAUUGGUUAAUAGCAAGCGCGGAUUGCGGAAGUUUGCGCGUUCAAGUCCUGCUGGAGGCGUAACUUUUUACAUUUCUUCCUUUCAUAUAAAAUUUGGAAUAAAAUGGAACAUUUUGCGUACAAACGAGGUGGCACUACUCUAGCCACCCCAGCCCCACGCAGCCUAGCAAGGCUUUCAGGUUGAUAACUGCCUCUUUUAGUGUGCACGGAGUCCCGAGGUAUUUGCUCCUGUAUACUUACACAACAUGUUUCAGUUUAUAAACCGUAUGUUUGCAUGGAGAUAACGAGUUGAAUUGUUUCUGGUCGCUGAUAAGUGUACAGUGGUUUAAGUUAGUAUAUUUAUUUGUAUAAUACUCUGAAAGACUUCAGGAUGCCAUACAGCAGCCGCCGCCGGCGGACCCUCGUGGUUCAGGACCAAGUCCUAGCUUGCCUCGGCUUAUAAUGAUUACAGGCAGCGGAUGUAGAUGUGUCGCGCGAGACAGCGAGCUAUGGAGUCGACAUUAGCAAUAAAAUUCAACCCAUAUUCAUACUCAUUCAUUCGUUUAAUUAGUGAUUUUAAUUUAAUAAUCAAAGACAAGAACCUAGACGAGUUUAAACGAUCGGUUAGUUUUGUCUUUGGGUAUAUAAAUAAUAAAAGUGAAGGCCAUUUUUUGUUUUGAUUAUAUUACGAAAUUACAGAUAAAACAAUAUGUAUAUUAGAGUCGGACCAGGAUUAGUUGGCAGCGAUUUGAUAGCCCAGUAGUGCACGGGUUAUUUAAAACGUCAAAUUUCUAUGAAAUGUCAAGUGUCAAGUACUUGGUUUGACUCUAAAGGAGGAAAAAUAAUAUAUAUAUAAAUUAACCAAUGCAAAAAAUGGUAAUUAUUUUUAUUUGUAAUAUUGAUAUACUCAAAGACAAGAUUAAAGCAUCGUUUAUAAACUCGUCAACGUUCUUAUCUUUGAUUAUAGGUAAAAUUAAAAACACACUAAUUAAAUAAAUAGGGAGCGUGCAUGAACUGUAGGAGGCAGCACAGGCGCCGUCAGAUUUUUGGCGCGAGGCGUAUAUGUGAUGUUUAUUGUUCCGAUGUAGCCCACAAGAUGGCAGAACCUACUAUGCACAAGAAAACACGGGACGUGUAAAUGUACAUGUUUAUGGUUCCGAUUCAGGCCACAAGAUGGCAGAUCCUCCAACGCGCACGGUCCUUAUACAUGAGUAGAGUUGAAUUUUAUUACUAAUGUCGACUCCAUAACUCGUUAACAUCUUACCGUGUGAUAAAAACUCCCUAGAAUAAAACAUGUCACUUGUCGCAUAUUGCAUAGAAACAGUACCGACAUCUGUCUUCAACUACAGCCCGACGAGGAAUUUGUCGAUAUUGUUUUAGGGCGCCACUGAACUUCAAUAAGCAAAACAGAUACAAACAUACAUACAUCCAUCUCAUUCUGCCGCAUAAGUGCGUCCUUUACAUCGUUUUUUAACUUUUGACGUUUGCCGUUGACAUAUAUAACGGAUAUUUUCAAGUAUCCUCAAAACAUCAACGAAAGUUGGGAGAAAAAAAAUAUGUGAACGGUCUCUAUUGUUUCCCAAAAAUGUUUUAAGUCAUACAUGUCAUAAUGUAUUGUUUGUCCGCAUUUUCAGUACUCAUAAUUGCUUUUUUUCUCAGAAAUGCGUAAUUUUUUAGUGUUUCCAUAAAACAAACCUAACCUAUCUAUAGGAUAACCUUAGAAAAAACCUAAAAGUUUCAGAAUUAUGACAUGAUAAUCUGACAAUGAUUACAUUGUGACUUUCAAUAAUUAUUGCCCUUAACCGAAUGUAAUCGACUUUUUUCUGUUGCCAAGGCAAAAUAUGACUUAGUCCCGAACCAGUGUUAGUGGUGCUCGCAGCACUAGCGCGUCAAUAUUAUGUGUACAGUGCACCGCCCGGUGGAGGAAUGUAUACAUAUGUGCGACAUUGACUGUACCGGGUCACACACCACGUCUCUCUUUAUGAGGUGAUUUUUUGGACCCUUCACCUGUUAAACAAAAGGUAUUGUUUCUGUUGUUCAUCAGUUUACUACUGGUUUUUUGUUGUCUCUAAUAAAAUACUUAACAGACCGCACAGAAGCAGGUCGUUCUAUAUUACCCAAAUCUGCGAAUUAUAUGUAAAUAGGAUGAUAAUGAAAUCAUAUAUAAAUAGGAUGGUAAAUAUGGGUUUUCUCCUCAAACUUGCAAUGAAAUGUUGACAUGACUUUCUUCAAAUUAGGUCUGGAAAUACUACAUAUCAGGUGCGACGAGUGAAGAUGAUAUGUAAAGGAAUUUCAUACUGCCUUACACACCUAGGACUGUAAGAGGCAACCUUCUUUUAUUUUCAAGGGUCAAAUUAUGACACAACGUCUUUCGUAAUUUGUUUUUAGCUAUGUACCUAUAGAACAAAUUGACUACAAUUCUAUAUCUACUUAGCCAUCGUUUCCCGGCCUCUAUAGCAAUGUACUAUUUAAACGGGCUUGUUUUCGUUUUCUCAUGACAAUAAACAAUACAUUUUGUUCAAAAAAUCACUUCAGAAAACACCUAAUUCCAACUAGGGAAGAAAUGUGUCGCACGUCGUGUGGCCGGUGCCGGCCGUCGGGUGCGGGUGGUAAGCGGCGCGACGUUGCCGGCCCGCGCCCGACAGGUCUGGCAACAGCGCGCCACACGGCGCCGGCGUCGUGCGAUGUCCCCAGAUAUGUCAAGCGAAAUCACUCCGACUUGUCAAGCUGUUAACUUCGUGCUCAGGAGUGACAACUUUUGGUUUAUGAUCUGUGUGUGACCCAAAUAAUUUCCGUUUUCGAAAUUGGCGGUGUUAAGGAAGGCGUUGACUGUGAAUUGUUAAAUUGGUUUUCGUCAGAUUUUGACCAAUUUUCGAAAAACUGAGCACUUUAGAUCCUAGAUACUAAAAUGGCAUUAGAUGUGAUUUUUGGAAUACCCCGAUAUUUUAACCUCCUAAGGCCCAAGGGCCUACCUAUAGUACGAUGAAAUUUAAGUCGUAUUCAAUUGGGACAGAGUUGCAUUUCGUCGGGGAUAGUGCAAGACCGCGUAACUAACAAAUGCAGUAAGGUCCAAUUACCUUGUACAUUGUUUGAAUUUCGAACCCUUUCGACUUUGUUAGUUGCGCGGUAUUGCACUAUCCCCGGCGAUUUGCUUUGUUUCGUCGUCAACAACACAAGAUCAACUCUAGGUUGCAAUAUCAGUGGCACAUUUUGGAUGUUUCAUUCAUAAUAAAGUUACCUUCAGACUUUCAAGAUAUAAACGUACCUACUCCUGUCAACCCUUCUCCAGGCGCAGUACGAUUUAUCGACCACAUACGCGCGAAUAGAAUUUCAACUUUAGCAUUCGGGUUUAAGGUUUAAAUUUGAUUUCACUUUCGAGAAUGGCUUGUCCUCAAAUGAAUCACCAAAGUUUGAUUAAUUGGAAUAUAUUUGAUGUUUUUGGGAAAACCUCGUGGUUUUUUGCGGCCUGGAAAAGGGUUAAAGGCAGGCAAGGCACAUGCAGCCCCUCUAGUGUCGUUGAUGUCCAUGGUUUACGGUGUGAUUGCUGACCAUCAGGCGAUUAAUCUGAUGUAAACCUCGUAUAUCAUUAUAAAAAAUCAGAAACACUUUAAUUAAUACAUUUUAGUAUCUGCGAUGUAAAAACACAAACAGUUUAAAAUGUACGUUAGCUGGUGUCACGGUGUUAUGCAGUAACAAAUACAAAUGUAUAACGUCCAGAUCGGAAAUGCACCAAAAUGUAAACAAACAAAUGCUGUUCUGUGUCCGUAUGACGCACGGGGGUGUCCAUAUGACGCACAGGGUUGUCCAUAUGACGCACAGUGUCCACGUGACGCACAGAGGUGUCCAUAUGACGCACAGAGGUGUCCAUAUGACGCACAUGUGUGUCCACAUGACGCACAGGGACACGUCAAGAUCGCGUAGUCUCUUCUAAUCCCAAGAAACGAGCGUCAGAGGUCAACUCCAACUUGUCAGCAGAAAAAGGCGGCAAAUUGAAAAAUGUAGGCGCGCGUUGAUCUCCCAUAGAAAAUUUGAAAUUCACACCUUCUACUGACAAGUUGGGGCUGACCAAGUGUAUAAUGCUCCUCAAAAGGGACUCCCUUGUUUGUUUACAUUUUUGACUGCAUGAUAAUCAACAGGAAGUGGUCUGGCUCUAACUCGGUAUUUUCAAUUGAGUUAGGUAUUGUCUGAAUAAGUUCACACAUUUGACAGUAGUCCAUUGAAGUUUGUCGUGAUAGGCUGACAUGUAUCGUUUGUCAAAUCUAGCGAUACUAAUGAAUGACUAAACGAAUUAGUCGAAUCGAUUUUACAGUCGACUUUUGCAAGUAUGUAUUGUUUCGUUUGAAUUACUAAUUAAACUUUUUUUUCAAAUCGUAAUUCAUUUUAUUGUCAUUUUGUUUUAAAUUGUCGAUUUUUAUCAACUUACGGAAAUGUCAUAUGAAUCGAAACGACAGACUGAACCACAACACUGUUUAAAAAAAAUAACAGAUAUAAUAGGUAACUGUUUGCGUGAUAAAUUAUUAUCGUAAAAUAUUUAAUAACAAAGAUCUAAAAAGAUUAACAUGUUAUGUUUCAGUAAGCGAAAUAUUGUUCGGAAGUACUUGACAAACCCUAUAUUAUUUAUAAUUUCAAUGUGUCAUGCGCGUUUAUGUUGUACGGGCGUACAACAACAAUGGGUAUGAUGGGCGUUGUCAAAUGUGUGAACUUAGAUCUUUUCAACUCAACAGUUCUACUCGUGCAGCCGCGUAUCCAAUAAUAAUGUUAUAAGUAAGUUAGGUUUAACUUGUUAAUAAAAUAAAAUUUCAUUAUUA